rnacentral:lncRNA from 1 species
GUGAGUUUCAACCUCUAGGGUUUUCUGGUGGUCAAAUCGAGUGUUUGGUUGCCAUCCGGUGGUUUGAUACUCAUUUUGCUGUGGUUUUGGUUAUCAUCCGUGGUGUUGUGACAACAUUGUCGGCGUUUGUUGUAAAGUUUUGACGGUUAUUCCUAGGGCUCACACCUAGGGUUUUGCCUAUUGUUAAAGGCUGAACUUCUCCGGUUGCGAAGAAGGACGUAACCUCGUUCCUAUUCUCUGGUUGUGAUUCUUUGACUGUAUAUGUGAUUUUUUGAUUCUAGCUGUGAAUAGAUUCUUUGAGUUGUGAAUACUGACCGUGUAGAUUGUGAAUAUUGUUUUGGUGAUAUUUUACAAAAGGUUUGAUUCAUUUGUUGAGCAUGGCUGCUAACAUGAAUN